rnacentral:rRNA from 1 species
AUCCUCCAAGGCUAAAUACUCCUGAUUGACCGAUAGUGAACCAGUACCGUGAGGGAAAGGCGAAAAGAACCCCGGCGAGGGGAGUGAAAUAGAACCUGAAACCGUGUACGUACAAGCAGUGGGAGCCUUGAUUUAUCAGGGUGACUGCGUACCUUUUGUAUAAUGGGUCAGCGACUUAUAUUCUGUAGCAAGGUUAACCGUAUAGGGGAGCCGUAGGGAAACCGAGUCUUAACUGGGCGAAUAAGUUGCAGGGUAUAGACCCGAA